rnacentral:rRNA from 1 species
GACGAACGCUGGCGGCGUGCUUAACACAUGCAAGUCGAACGGAAAGGCCCUGCUUUUGUGGGGUGCUCGAGUGGCGAACGGGUGAGUAACACGUGAGUAACCUGCCCUUGACUUUGGGAUAACUUCAGGAAACUGGGGCUAAUACCGGAUAGGAGCUCCUGCUGCAUGGUGGGGGUUGGAAAGUUUCGGCGGUUGGGGAUGGACUCGCGGCUUAUCAGCUUGUUGGUGGGGUAGUGGCUUACCAAGGCUUUGACGGGUAGCCGGCCUGAGAGGGUGACCGGCCACAUUGGGACUGAGAUACGGCCCAGACUCCUACGGGAGGCAGCAGUGGGGAAUAUUGCACAAUGGGCGGAAGCCUGAUGCAGCAACGACGCGUGCGGGAUGACGGCCUUCGGGUUGGAAACCGCUUUCGCCUGUGACGAAGCGUGAGUGACGGUAAUGGGUAAAGAAGCACCGGCUAACUACGUGC